rnacentral:lncRNA from 1 species
AAUUAUAAGAGAAAGCCAUAAUGUGGCAAGACUUGUAGUUCUGUGGCAUGGGGCAGUACUUGAAGGGUAAAUUCAGUGUGUCUACAAAAUAAAGUGUGUUCUUAAGUGGUUUGCUGUGCUCACACAAAGUAAAUGCAUUAUACUGUAGUUGCUGACAUAUAAUGUGCAUCUUUUUAAAAGCCAGCAACAUGGCCAUAGAGACGACUUCAUCUUGCCUAAUGAAAAGAAUCAAGAAACACUUCAAAGGAGUCACUGGGAUGCACAUAAAAUACCCACACUCUUAGGCAGUGCUCUACCAGUGACUGUUAAGUAUAUGAUAUCCUCAGUCAAGCUACGGUAAGCUCAUUCAUUUUCAUAAAGAAUUCUUGCUUGAACUUCCAAACUGUACCCUGCAAUGCAGUGUAAUUUGUGUAGACACAGCAUUCUGCUUCUAGCUACUUAUCAGUCCAUUUUUAUGACACUUUUAACUGCAGGGCGUGGGCUCCCUGAUACAGACCAGACCUUGAAGAACAGCAAUUCCUCGUCAGAGUUUUAGUCCAGCGGCACCAUUCCGUACAAGAGCAGUUAUAUUUUAGGAAACUGGGACAAGAGGUCAAGGCUGGGAGUGCUUCGGGGUGAGUAAAGUAAGGUAGUUUGGAAUUAGGCAAAAUGGCAGGAUUAG